UACGUAGGGCGCAAGCGUUAUCCGGAAUUAUUGGGCGUAAAGAGCUCGUAGGCGGUUUGUCGCGUCGGCUGUGAAAAACUCGGGGGCUCAACCCCCGAGCCUGCAGUCGAUACGGGCAGACUAGAGUGCUGUAGGGGAGACUGGAAUUCCUGGUGUAGCGGUGAAAUGCGCAGAUAUCAGGAGGAACACCGGUGGCGAAGGCGGGUCUCGUGGGCAGUAACUGACGCUGAGGAGCGAAAGCGUGGGGAGCGAACAGG
rnacentral:rRNA from 1 species